rnacentral:tRNA from 2 species
AUCAAGGUGUCUGAUUUAAGUAAUAAACUGUAAAUUUAUUUAAGAAAAUAAUUUUUCUCUUGAUA